AUAUCCUGCCCAGCGGGAAGGAUGAGAAGCGUCGACCAGGGUUCGAUUCGAGCGUAGCGAGAAAGCGUUGCCGCAGGCAACGACCCGAAGGGCGGAUUCGUUCAUCUGUCUCCCCUGACGC
rnacentral:sRNA from 1 species